rnacentral:rRNA from 1 species
UACGGGAGAAAGCAGGGGACCUUCGGGCCUUGCGCUAUCAGAUGAGCCUAGGUCGGAUUAGCUAGUUGGUGAGGUAAUGGCUCACCAAGGCGACGAUCCGUAACUGGUCUGAGAGGAUGAUCAGUCACACUGGAACUGAGACACGGUCCAGACUCCUACGGGAGGCAGCAGUGGGGAAUAUUGGACAAUGGGCGAAAGCCUGAUCCAGCCAUGCCGCGUGUGUGAAGAAGGUCUUCGGAUUGUAAAGCACUUUAAGUUGGGAGGAAGGGCAGUCACCUAAUACGUGAUUGUUUUGACGUUACCGACAGAAUAAG